AAAUCUUCUCCCGGACUUCUCCCAGGUUUUCAACCUAGAAGCAUCUUUCUCCUGGACCUGGAAGCGAUCCCUUUGAAACACAGUCAUAAAGACAGGGCCUCUGUCUCCUGGGUCCUGUGGGAAGAGUCCUCAGGUGACCUUGGGAGUUCAUGCUUCCUCUCUAAGCCUUCGACCCCAAGCUGAAACAGUGGAGCUGCUGGAGAUGGUACUGGGUGCCCCUGCUAGCUGAGACAUUGCAGGACUUUUGGGACACGAGGUUCUGCCACUCUGAUCAGUCGUCAUCACCGUGUGUGCACAAGAGAACCCUGCAGAGCUUCCCAUGCUACAGCCAUUCAAACCUCUAAUCCUUGGAAUCCUGGUGUGGGAAAACUCAAGUGAAAAUGCCCAGGAAAUUCUGAUUGCUGCAGAGACAUUGAGGGAAUCAGCGAAUCUGGCAAUGAGGUUCUUACUGCAACCCCUAGAGGCAGCUGUCUUAAUGAAGAUGUGGGAACAGGGAGGC
rnacentral:lncRNA from 1 species